UCAAAGGAAUUGACGGGGCCCGCACAAGCGGAGGAACAUGUGGUUUAAUUCGAUGAUACGCGAGGAACCUUACCUGGGCUUAAAUGGGGAGUGACAGCUGUCGAAAGAUGGUUUUCUUCGGACACUCUUCAAGGUGCUGCAUGGUUGUCGUCAGCUCGUGCCGUGAGGUGUCGGGUUAAGUCCCAUAACGAGCGCAACCCUUACCGUUAGUUACCAUCAGGUUAAGCUGGGGACUCUAGCGGGACUGCCACCGUAAGGUGAGAGGAAGUGGGGAUGACGUCAAAUCAGCACGGCCCUUAUGUCCAGGGCUACACACGUGUUACAAUGGCCAGUACAAAGGGCAGCUACCGGGUGACCGGAUGCUAAUCUCUAAAGCUGGUCUCAGUUCGGAUCGAAGUCUGCAACCCGACUUCGUGAAGCUGGAUUCGCUAGUAAUCGCGCAUCAGCCAUGGCGCGGUGAAUACGUUCCCGGGCCUU
rnacentral:rRNA from 1 species